UGGGGAAUUUUGGACAAUGGGCGCAAGCCUGAUCCAGCCAUGCCGCGUGCGGGAAGAAGGCCUUCGGGUUGUAAACCGCUUUUGUCAGGGAAGAAAUCUUCUGAGUUAAUACCUCGGGAGGAUGACGGUACCUGAAGAAUAAGCACCGGCUAACUACGUGCCAGCAGCCGCGGUAAUACGUAGGGUGCAAGCGUUAAUCGGAAUUACUGGGCGUAAAGCGUGCGCAGGCGGUUUUGUAAGACAGAGGUGAAAUCCCCGGGCUCAACCUGGGAACUGCCUUUGUGACUGCAAGGCUUGAGUGCGGCAGAGGGGGAUGGAAUUCCGCGUGUAGCAGUGAAAUGCGUAGAUAUGCGGAGGAACACCGAUGGCGAAGGCGAUCCCCCUGGGCCUGCACUGACGCUCAUGCACGAAAGCGUGGGGAGCAAACAGGAUUAGAUCCCUGGUAGUCCACGCCCUAAACGAUGUCAACUGGUUGUUGGGAAGGUUCCUUCUCAGUAACGUAGCUAACGCGUGAAGUUGACCGCCUGGGGAGUACGGCCGCAAGGUUGAAACUUAAAGGAAUUGACGGGGUCAUAGC
rnacentral:rRNA from 1 species